GACGAACGCUGGCGGCGUGCUUAACACAUGCAAGUCGAACGGAAAGGCCCUGCUUGCAGGGUGCUCGAGUGGCGAACGGGUGAGUAACACGUGGGUGAUCUGCGCCUUACUUUUGGAUAAGCCUGGGAAACUGUGUCUAAUACUGGAUAGGACCCUGCUGUAGGUGGUGUGGUGGAGAGAUUAGUUUCGGUAAGGGUUGAGCUCGCGGCCUAUCAGCUUGUUGGUGGGGUAAUGGCGUACAAAGGCGUCGACGGGUAGCGGGCCUGAGAGGGUGGACGGCGACAUAGUGACUGAGAGACAGGGCAGAGACCUACGGGAGGGAGAAGAGGGGAAUAUAGCACAAUGGGGGCAAGAGUGAUGCAGCGAGGCGGCGUGGGGGAGGACGGGCUUCGGGUGGUAAACUCCUCUCAGCCAUGACGAAGCGCGUGUGGUGACGGUAGUGGUAGAAGAAGCACCGGCUAACUACGUG
rnacentral:rRNA from 1 species